rnacentral:misc_RNA from 1 species
AUGACAAAAAAAAAAAACAAUUUUUUCACAAGAAAUGACAAUGAGCAAUGCUAAAUAAAGCAACUGUCACACGCUUCCUGAAGAAGUUUUUACUCUACCUUAUAAUGACUGGGAUAAGAGUGGGAGCAGCCACAAUCCCAGUAUGAUAUAGGUCCCUGUCACAGGGUAAGGCAGUCUAAUAUUACACUAGUCUAGCUAUAAUGGAAGACAUUAAGUUUGAGGUGCUGCCUUAACUUCUUACUUCACUAUAAAUUAAUUUUCAAACAAAUUGAUGAACAAUUUUAACCACGCUAGCUAUCCAUCUAACAUCUACUCAUAAGUGCUGUCACAAGUUAUAUGACAGAUAACAUUAUAUUUUAAGGGCCUCACUUCUCUGGACUUAAUGUUUUGCACUAGAAUCUUUUCAAACAAAUCAUGAUGGGCAUUUCUUAUCUCUAGCCAAGAAUUCUUUGCCUGCUACAGUAUUGUCUAAAUAAUAGGUCACAAUACAUUCAAUAGUUCCCCGGUUAACAUCUGAGAAAGUAGGAGCUUAAGACAUCACUUUCAAGUUGCAGCAAUGUGCUAAUGGCAACGCAGAUAAAACAAUUAAAAAAAAACCCAAAAAAUUUGCCAACUCAAAGCACAUUGCAUAAGCCAAGACCACUUAAAAGCCACAGAUAGAGAAUACUUGGCCCUAAAUUUUAUUUUUAUUGCUAAGAAAUUUUCCUUUCCCUCCAAUGGCCAAUAUAUUCCAACAUAAGAAAGCAUUAACCAAUAAAAAAUCAACUUUAAAUUUCAACAAAAUUUAAGAUAAGCCUCAUACCAGCUUUAUACCAACUUCCUCCCCAUUCUGC